rnacentral:lncRNA from 10 species
GGCUAAGUUUUUGCAUUUUAGUAGAGAAGGGGUUUCACCAUGUUGGCCAAGAUUGUCUCGAUCUCCUGACCUCAUUAUCCACCUGCCUCGGCCUCCCUAAGUGCUGGGAUUACAGGCGUGAGCCACCGCACCUGGCCUAAUAUUUAAAUUUUUUGUGAAGAUGGGGUGUAAUUAUGUUGCCCAGGCUGGUCUCAAACUCCUGAUCUCAAGCAAUCCUCCUGCCUCGGCCUCCCAAAGUGCUGGGAUUAAGGCAUGAGCUAUCACACCUGGCCUCUGGAAGUUUUUAAGAGAAGAGUCUGGCCUGGCCUGGGCAGCCAUGAACCACUUCCCUGAUGGGAUGUAGUGCUGGGGAGAUCUGGGGAUCAGUAAGAGAAAUCUAGGCCAAGAGGCAGAGAUGGGAGAACAACAUGCCUCAGGAAGGCAGGCAGGUACAUAUGGAUCGAGGGAAUAGAGAAAAUUGUGGGAGCCAUAGGACUCCAGGGUGUGGAAAGCAUGCGGUAUGAGAGGCAAGACCAUGCACAGCCCCUACAGAGGCCACAUACACGAGAAGAGACUUAACACAGCCUUGCUCUGUAACCGAACCAGGGUUCAGCUGCUGACCACUUGAAAGCCUUACACAAGAGACAAGAAUUUGUGGGAAGAAAAGCUGGUUUAUUUGGAGAGCAAGCAAAGAAAGAAGAUGGUGGACUAUCAUCCCAAAGUACCAUCUUGAGUCACAACCAGUUUUAGGCUCUUUUUAUGUUAAGAGCAGGGGGAAGGGGGGCGGCUAGGAUCAAGAUGUAACUGACAGUGCUUGCUUCGGCAGCACAUAUACUAAAAUUGGAACGGUACAGAGAAAAGUAGCAAGGCCCCUGGGCAAAGAUGACAUGCAAAUUCCUGAAGCAUUCCACAUUUAAAAAAAUAAUUUAAAUUUUAAAAAGAGGUAACCGACCACCGCAGAUAUCUGGGCACUAGUGAGGGUCCAAGGAGGUUGGAAACUUCUCUGUCCUUGGUCAGGUCACAAUGCUCAUAUAAAUUUUACAACAAAACAGCUAGUUGUUGACAUACUUCUCCCUUAAUCCCAGAGUUAGUUUUUAAAACUACAUGAUUGCUGUGUGUGUGUGUUAUUAUCCCAGUGUUCUAAAAUUAUCCUAGGCUACGUGCAGGAAUGAGUAAAGGUCCCUUAAACAAAAAUGUAGUUAGUUAUGUUUGUUCUUUUACUGUUUCUCUGCUGUAGUUCAAAGAUGGCUUCCUAAUGAAAUGAAGCUCCCAGGACUCAUACCCUCAUGCAAUCGCCGUUCCUCAAAUCUCAACAGGCCUGUGACUCUGCAUGGCUUCUGAAGCUGUCAUAAGAAGCCUUGGCCGGGCACGGUGGCUCACGCCUGUAAUCCCAGCACUUUGGGAGGCCGAGACAGGCAAAUCACGAGGUCAGGAGAUCGAGACCAUCCUGGCUAACAUGGUGGAACCCUGUCUCUACUAAAAAUUCAAAAAAUUAGCCGGAUGUGGUGGCGGGCGCCUGUAGUCCCAGCUACUCGGGAGGCUGAGGCAGGAGAAUGGUGUGAAUCUGGUAGGCAGAGCUUGCAGUGAGCCGAGAUCGCACCACUGCACGCCAGCCUGGGAGACAGAGCAAGACUCUGUCUCAAAAAAAAAAAGUCUUGUGGCUUCCACUGGGAGAUCUUGGAAAGUUUACACUGUAAGUGCUUUGCAGUUGGCUACCCCAGGUUAACAUGAAAAGAGAGUGUUGCCCAGCUAACCCAUGUAGCUCUGCUACCCCCACUGAGACAGCAGACAUAUCAGAGAAGAGCUGAACCUUCAGAUGACCCCAACUGUAAUCAGUAUCUAAAUGCAAAACUGUUUGAGAGAUUCACAAUAGCAAAGAAAUGGAAUCAACCCAAAUG